AGAGUUUGAUCAUGGGUCANAUUGAACGCUGGCGGCAGGCCUAACACAUGCAAGUCGAGCGGAUGAAGAGAGCUUGCUCUCUGAUUCAGCGGCAGGACGGGUGAGUAAUGCCUAGGAAUCUGCCUGGUAGUGGGGGACAACGUUUCSAAAGGAACGCUAAUACCUGCAUACGUCCUACGGGAGAAAGCAGGGGACCUUCGGGCCUUGCGCUAUCAGAUGAGCCUAGGUACGGAUUAGCUAGUUGGUGAGGYAAAGGCUCACCAAGGCKACGAUCCGUAACUGGKCUGAGAGGAUGAUCAGUSACACUGGAACUGARACACGGNCCAGACUCCUACGGGAGGCAGCAAWWGGGGAAUUUUGGACAAUGGGCGCAAGCCUGAUCCAACAAUGCCGCGUGAGUGAAGAAGGMCUUCGGGUUGCAAAGCUCU
rnacentral:rRNA from 1 species